UACAGAGGGGGCAAGCGUUGUUCGGAAUUACUGGGCGUAAAGGGCGCGUAGGCGGCCCGCUAAGUCGAACGUGAAAUCCCCGAGCUCAACUCGGGGAACCGCGUCCGAUACUGGUGGGCUUGAAUCCGGGAGAGGGAUGCGGAAUUCCAGGUGUAGCGGUGAAAUGCGUAGAUAUCAAGAGGAACACCUGAGGUGAAGACGGGUUGCUGGGCUGACACUGACGCUGAGGCGCGAAAGCCAGGGGAGCAAACGGG
rnacentral:rRNA from 1 species